rnacentral:lncRNA from 1 species
AAAAAAGAGAACUCUGCAUUUUUAUUUUUUAAAAAAAUGUUAGUGUUAGACUCCGUAGGAGGCAACUCAAUCUUUCGAUCUCGAGGCGGAGCGGCCUCUUGCUGUAGUGGGUCCACGGGCUGCAGGGGGAGAGCCGGGGCUGGACGAGGCGCCAAGCGGCCCUGGGUCUUCGGGCUCCCAAGGUCAUUGUGUGAACCUGGCCGAGCCUCCCAGCCGCGCGCGCGCGGGGCCGGGGCUUCCUGGGCUCCGUCUCCGGGAUUGUGCGCGCGUGCCUACUGCACGCAGGUCCAGCGGGGAAAAGAGCUUGGGGUGCAGCAGGGGAACCCAAUAUGUGUGCCUGCGUCUGGGUGCUCGCUGCUUACCACAGCCCGCUCCCCCCGUCGCCAAACCCUGGCCUUCCUUCCCAGCCCUGGUAGGUGGGCCCCUACCAGGAAGUUGUCUCAGAAAUUCCACCUGACCUCAGAGCUGCCUUCCUCCAUCUAACCCUGGGUUCUUGCUCCCCAUCCUGGGAUCUCCCUUCUCCUGUAUCCAGACCCUAGGCUCCCUCUUAUAUACCAGCUAUGGGAACCUGCC